AUCCAAUGAUCAAGAAUUGAAAUCACAAAAAAAUAACAUCAGGUGCUAUCUUACAAUUGUUGUAAGGUAGUUGAGUCCUUUAAUCCAUUACCUUUCUAAUGGUAAAAAAAAUAAAAAAAAUAUUAAAAAAAAAAGCGUAACACAUGAAUUUUCCCAAAAAAAAUCAUCUAUGGUAAGACUGUUCUCUUUCAAAGACACUUUAGUUACAAAAUUCUAAAGCAAUCCAGUGUAUACGUGGCAGCAUGAUUGCACAAUUUGCCCUCAAAGAGAGACGAGGGUUGGUAUAAAACGUACUGCAAUUUCUAUAAUUCUAUAAUUGUGUGGCAAAAGAUCAAAAAGGGUUGGUAUGAUUGAAAAUGGACCAAAAUGCCCCUCAACAACCCCCACACAACCGCCAAUUUCUAUUUAUUUAUUUAUUUCUUCGGAGCAGCACCAACUUUUUGAGAUAAAAUGGAAAGUAAAGCUAAAUGUUCUCACCAAUAUUUCCUAACGCUACCAACUUCAACAAGAUCGACACGGUGAAUGGUGACCACAUUAUCCGCUCAUCUUAAGCCAUCACAGUGAAAGGAUUUCUCUAUCGAAGCAGCGAAAAGUUAUUUGUCGCAAUCAUUUGGAGAAGUAGCUUCUAAUGCUUUAUUUAAAUUUUGUAAGAUAA
rnacentral:lncRNA from 1 species